rnacentral:tRNA from 1 species
GUGGCUAUAGCUCAGUGGUAGAGUGUCCACCUCACAUAUGUGAGGCACUGGGUUAGAUCCUCAGCACCACA